rnacentral:rRNA from 1 species
AUUGAACGCUGGCGGCAUGCUUUACACAUGCAAGUCGAACGGUAACAGGGUGCUUGCACCGCUGACGAGUGGCGAACGGGUGAGUAAUGCGUCGGAACGUGCCGAGUAGUGGGGGAUAACGCAGCGAAAGUUGUGCUAAUACCGCAUACGUACUGAGGUAGAAAGUGGGGGACCUUCGGGCCUCACGCUAUUCGAGCGGCCGACGUCUGAUUAGCUAGUAGGUGAGGUAAAGGCUCACCUAGGCGACGAUCAGUAGCGGGUCUGAGAGGAUGAUCCGCCACACUGGGACUGAGACACGGCCCAGACCCCUACGGGAGGCAGCAGUGGGGAAUUUUGGACAAUGGGCGAAAGCCUGAUCCAGCCAUGCCGCGUGUCUGAAGAAGGCCUUCGGGUUGUAAAGGACUUUUGUCAGGGAGGAAAUCCCUAGCGUUAAUACCGCUGGGGGAUGACAGUACCUGAAGAAUAAGCACCGGCUAACUACGUGCCAGCCGCCGCAGUAAGAC